rnacentral:lncRNA from 1 species
UUUAUUUUAUUUAAUUUUAAGUCUAACUCAUUUAAAUUAAAUAUAAAAAUUGACAAAAAAAAAUCAGAAAACGGCGAAUCGGGAAGAAAAUCCCGUAGGGAGUUAUGUUGCCCAGGAGCAUGCUGGGCACUGUGUGUGCAUGCAUAAACGAACAAUAGCUGCAUGAUGGCUGCACAACAUGCAAGUUUCAUCUGCACGCACCCACGCAUGGGACGUGCACACAGCGUGCACGUCCCCUUCGCAUGCAUGAUGCGGGGUCAGGACCUGCGCGCGUCACCUAGUGCAUGGACAGGCACUGCACAUUGU